CGAGCGUGGCGGAAAAGUGGCGAGGACGCGGCGCGGCCAGGAAGUCGGCGGGCGCGGAACACCCCAGCCUUGACCCCGCGCGCCGGAGCGCUCCUCCCGUGACUCCGAAUCCGUCGCGGAUCCUUAGGCUUCGCCCCGCGCCGCCCCCCACGGCUGCCAGAGAGAAUGGACACACCUGGGCCUCCAGCCACUGCCAAUGAACUCCAGACACAUACACCCUGUUGUGCAUCUGGCUAAAUGGCCCAUUUGUAUCAUCUGUAGGAGUGUGAGUAUUGUUCCUGGAAGAGGAGAAACGCUGGUUACUCAGAAGUGUAUCACACUGCAGGCUAUGGCAGAGCAACUCUGGAAAACGAAGAACAAAUGAUGCACUAUUGAUUGGUGGGAGCUGAACAGCAUGUGAUUCCCCAUGAAACAUAGCAAUUACCACUUCUCCAUGAUUACGUGGCUUAGGAAAUCCAAAUACUGUCUUACUAUGAAUGGCACAAUCCACACAGGCCUGCACAGUCUGCCCAGUAUCACAUUCACGGGCCUGGGCCAGAGUGGUCAGGUAGCUACUGGAUUCUCUUCUGACCCAAAUAAGGGCCUCAAUCUCCAUAUAUAUAUAUAGACACAGACUAUAGACAUUACUAUUUUAGAUGGUCCCUCAGUGGAAUCCUUACGUUUUCUCAUCCGUAAACUGAGAGGAACUGAAGAUGUAGAAGGAACAACAGAAAUACUUUCUUCCUGCUUUUUUUCUUGGCUUCGUUACUCCUUUCUUUGGUGUAAUAUUUUUGUUUUAUUAUUUAUUUAUUUGAAAGUGACAGAGAAAAAGGCAGAUAGAAUGGGCGCACCAGAGCCUCCAGCCACUCCAAACGAACUCCAGACGCAUGCACCCCCUUGUGCA